UACAGAGGUCUCAAGCGUUGUUCGGAUUCAUUGGGCGUAAAGGGUGCGUAGGCGGCGAGGUAAGUCAGAUGUGAAAUCCCGGGGCUUAACCCCGGAACUGCAUUUGAUACUGCUUUGCUUGAGGACUGGAGAGGAGAUCGGAAUUCACGGUGUAGCAGUGAAAUGCGUAGAUAUCGUGAGGAAGGCCAGUGGCGAAGGCGGAUCUCUGAACAGUUCCUGACGCUGAGGCACGAAGGUCAGGGGAGCAAACGGG
rnacentral:rRNA from 1 species